rnacentral:rRNA from 1 species
UCCGAAGGGGGCUAGCGUUGUUCGGAAUUACUGGGCGUAAAGCGCGCGUAGGCGGCGUAUUAAGUCAGAGGUGAAAGGCCUGGGCUCAACCCAGGAACUGCCUUUGAGACUGGUGCGCUCGAGUUCGGAAGAGGGUAGUGGAAUUCCCAGUGUAGAGGUGAAAUUCGUAGAUAUUGGGAAGAACACCGGUGGCGAAGGCGGCUACCUGGUCCGAUACUGACGCUGAAGUGCGAAAGCGUGGGGAGAAAACAGG